AUCAUGACCUGAGCUGAAGUUGGAGGCUUACCGGACUGAACCACCCAGAUUGGUUUUCCCUCCAAACUGUGCUUUGAAUUCUGUUAUCUCCAAGGUUGGAGCUGGAGCGGGAGUUGGGAUUACAGAAAGUGUGGAGGAAGGCACAACUUUGUAGCUGGUGGAUACGGUGUCAGCUCUGUGGGCUCAAUCGAAUUCUCAAGGCCUUGCACCAAGAACAAAGGUCGGAAAGAGAAGUUUGUUCACAGUUCCUGACUGAACGGGGAGAAGACAUUUAAUGGAAACAUGAACCUCAUGCCUGGGUCUCCUGGAACUUGUAGCUGAACCUAGGAGUUUGUGGCCAAGCCUACCAACUACAUCCCCCAACGAUGUCUUCUCUUUUGGCACGUUGGUCAUGGAGUCGGGAGAGGAGAGCACCCAGUCCAUUCUUAUCUUUAAAGAGAGAAGAAACAGCGAAGUCUGUGACAUUCAGGUUUCUGUGCCCUCUCUCCUCUCACUGGUCAUCUUGCCCAGCUCAGCAGACUGUGCAUACCCAGCUCACUAACCAGAGAACUGGCUAGCUCAGGCAGCUGGCAAGUCAAGAGUGUGCUCAAGUGUGGUUGUCAAGAGUGGUACAGCCGAUCUCCCACAUCUUAGCCUUUUCUGAGCACCUGAGCCCUGCGGUAGCAUCAGACUGGGCGGCACAAACGGGCGUGCAGCCAGGAAUCAGUCGGUGGGAACACGACAUGCGCAGUUCUGCGGUGACCACACCCUGUAGCUUUCUGUCCUUUGUCCUUUCAAUAAACAUAGAUGGAGCAUCUCCUAUAUAUCGGGCACUAGGGAUUCUUGGGGGAUACAGGUAUGAAUGUAACAUGAUCCUUGACCCAAGGAACUUCUAGUUUUCAUGGGAGACAAGCAUAUAAAUGAAACCUUCCAACAGAC